GUUAUUAUGGCCGAACGGUUACGGCGUCCCAGCUAUAUGCGAGGGGAAACGUCAUCACUAGCGGGGAGGUCUCGGUUCGAAUCCGAGUGAUGACA